AUGCCAUUUUCCAAGGGCCCUUUUCCAGUUUUGCGUUCUCGAACACCAAAGCUCUUGGCACCUCUGGAUGGACGAGUUCGAGAUAGCAAAGUUCUGCCAGUGUUACAGCAACACGUUCCCCUAAAACCCAUUAGUCCCCUUUGCACUAGGACCCAGCUGAGUAGAGCGAGGCCAUUCUGGGACAGCCCUUGUCAAAACUAUCCCAUCAAUAAGGCAGGCAGUGAGGAAAGCGGGUCCAGUAGCCAAAGUUCUAUCAAUCUGGAGAACGAGGAUGAUGUGAAAAACAUUCAGGAGACUGCUCAGCUAGCCAGUCAGCCAAAAAUCAGUCAGGAUGGGUUGGUUGAUGGAGAAACUAACAACACAGAGCAAGUCAAAUCAGCAUUUAGUGAAGACAAGAGGGACAUGGGCUUCACAGCUGAAUUGGACGCUGAGAUAGGCCAAGUGUUUGACCUAAAUGAUCUUCAUGGUGAUGAAAGUUAUGAAAGAAACAAACAACAAAUAAAAGAAACCGAGUCGCAAUAUUCAACCAGUGAAAACACUCCCGAGGGCCCAAUAGUUUCCAAGAAGGACAAAAAGACAUUUAAAACUUUGAUGGCAGCCCAGAAUAAGGAGAGAAGAACCAGCGAGAAUUAUGCUUCCAGAGGAAAUAAUCAAACGAAACAGUCUAUGUUUGGAACUAAAGAUCAAAAUAUUUUAGGCUUCAGGAGGACCAAAAUGAAUGUUGAAGAUAAAACCAGGGAAAGCCCUGACUUGACAGUCCCUAAUUACAACACUUUGACCAAAUUCAAGUUAAAGACGAAUUCUAGGAGCACUGCAAGCCCACGUGUGGUUUGUGAACUCCCACAGGACAACGCAGCACACCAGAACACACCCGUGACGGGGCCAAAAAGGGCCCAACAGUUAAAGAAAGCAUGUUCAGGUGGGAAAGCCCAAAGAUCUAAAUCUGCUGUGGAUCUCAUGACCUACCAAAACUUGUUUCAGCAGAUCCAAAGUGAUGAUGAAGGACCAGUCAUGUAUGAGAUGUUUGCCGGUCCCAUUUCUGAAAACUUACAGAUUUCCAGCUCCUGUGGGAGACCUAAAGCAACACAGCUGGAGUCCGCUGCAACUAAAAGAACAAAACAGUACCGCAAAGUCAAACGCAGACCUUUAAAACCAGUACAGACCAAGCUGAAGCGACGCUCAGGGGAAAGUGCAGCUGUUCCAGCUAAAAGCAAAGCAAAACCUAUUUCAUCUUUUAAUAGGAAGGCCAUUCACAGAACAGAAAUUAGUCCUAAACUAGAAGCUGAGGUGGCCCCUGUUAUGGAUGCUAUAAGUCACAAACGUGGUCAAGAGGAGAACGAAUAUCAGACAUUACUGACCAUAGAAGAAGCGGUUUCUAAAUAUGACACAUUAAAAGCUGAUGAUGCAACUCUGACUACGCCAACAUCUUCCAUCCAUGUGAUAGAUUACAGAUUCCUCCAUGAGCACAAACUGUCUCCAGAUUCUCUAAAAACAGAAAAUCCAACCCCAGUACCAGAUGUUGCAUCUUCAUCAAGUCAUCAACAGUCAAAGAUCAAUACAUGGAGGUCUUCUAGCAGCAGCAGCAGCAGCUGCUGCCAUGCCGAUCUUUCACCCGUGUACAAAAAGUUUCUGGAUGAGGUGGGAAACAGUCCACUGACAGAUGACUUACUACAGUGUCUGGCAGAGGAGCUGAUCUCCUUGGAUGAAAGGGAAGUGUCUACAGGUUUGGAAGACCCAGAGCAAAGUAAAAAGAAGCUCAGCCGAGGGGAAGAGCUCGUACCUAGACAAAAUCGAUUUUCAGAGGUAAACCUUCAAGUUUUUUAUGGAACAAAAGGUGACUUUGUGGUUAAUAAUGACCAAAUCCUAUAA
rnacentral:lncRNA from 1 species